rnacentral:rRNA from 1 species
UGCGUAGGCGGUUUGGUAAGUUCGGUGUGAAAUCUCCCGGCUUAACUGGGAGGGUGCGCCGAAAACUGCCGGGCUAGAGUGUGGGAUAGGGAAGUGGAAUUCCUGGUGUAGCGGUGAAAUGCGUAGAUAUCAGGAGGAACACCUGCGGUGUAGACGGCUUCCUGGACCACUACUGACGCUGAGGCACGAAAGCGUGGGGAGCAAACAGGAUUAGAUACCCUGGUAGUCCACGCCCUAAACGAUGCGGACUUGGUGUUGGCCCUUCAUUGGGUCAGUGCCGCAGCUAACGCGGUAAGUCCGCCGCCUGGGGAGUACGGUCGCAAGGCUGAA